GAAGGAAAUCGUCGCUACUUGGAUGGAUCGCCUUCGUGGUCCUUGGCAUUAUACGGCAUUCACAACUUUGUAACCAUAUUUCUAGUCAUUCAACCAUUUAGAGUUAUCGCUUGUGAGCUUGCAUACUUAAAAUUGCUGAUGGGUCGUAUGAUGACAAUGAAAAGCUUCGCAUUCCGCGUUUUCCCUAACGUUGAUUUUUUUCACAAAGGAUUGAUAUCGUACGAUUUUUCGUACACACCUCUUGGUAUAAUUACCGUAGAAAGAUCGAUAAUUAUUAAGGCAUUAGCUAUAGUGAUAUCGUGCUUGGCAGCAAUCUUGCAGUUACAGAAAUAGAACGUUUAGUGGUUGCCUGGAAGAAAUCGCUCGAAAGCGAUAAGGCCGCCAGUUGCCCUCUUUUCAUUUAAUUAUGU